CUACGGGGGGCUGCAGUGGGGAAUAUUGGACAAUGGGGGAAACCCUGAUCCAGCAAUGCCGCGUGUGUGAAGAAGGCCUGCGGGUUGUAAAGCACUUUCGGUUGGGAGGACUGCUUCUAGCACUAAUAUUGUUGGAAGUUGACGUUACCUUCAGAAGAAGCACCGGCUAACUCCGUGCCAGCAGCCGCGUGUAAUACGGAGGGUGCAAGCGUUAAUCGGAAUUACUGGGCGUAAAGCGCGCGUAGGCGGCUAGAUCAGUCGGGUGUGAAAGCCCCGGGCGUAACCUGGGAACUGCAUCCGAUACUGACUAGCUUGAGUACAGGAGAGGGGAGUGGAAUUCCACAUGGAGCGGUGAAAUGCGUAGAUAUGUGGAGGGACACCAAUGGCGAAGGCAGCUCUCUGGCCUGGUACUGACGCUGAGGUGCGAAAGCGUGGGGAGCAAACAGGAUUAGAUACCCCCGUAGUC
rnacentral:rRNA from 1 species